GGAGGGGUGGCCGAGUGGUCAAAGGCAGCGGACUGUAAAUCCGCCGGCUUACGCCUACGCAGGUUCGAAUCCUGCCCCCUCCA
rnacentral:tRNA from 3 species